CUUUAAUACCAGAACCAGUAGGCUGCCCGAAAAGCCAAGUUUCCUCAGGAGUUCAGACAUGGGACAGAGAACAUCGCCAGCUUUGCUUGGACCCAAGCCCUGACAGUAGUUCCUGGCCUGGGUCCAAGUUCUAUCACACAGACCCUGCCCCUUCCCAUAUUCCCUCAGCUCCGUUUCUCCUUUCCACCUCACUGACUCCUUGUCCUUUGGCUUUCCCUUUGGAGUUCCAAACUUGAGCUGUCAAGUCUAAUCACGGCACCUGCCUACUAUGUACACAAAGGAAAAGAAAAUGCCGCCGGGGACUGCCAUUUUCAUUUGCUGCCCCAACACCUCCUCUUGGAGUCUGCAGAUUUGUGUGUGAUAUAGCGGAAAUUGUAAACCCCAACGUUCUCUUUACGUUAAGGUAAGUUCACCGUAUAUAUGUACAAUACUUUCUCUUAGUUUUUAAAAAGGGAUCAAGUUAACAAC
rnacentral:lncRNA from 1 species